CUUAAAGGAAUUGACGGGGCCGCACAAGCGGUGGAGCAUGUGGUUUAAUUCGACGCAACGCGAAGAACCUUACCAGGGCUUGACAUCCCCUGACCGUCUAUGGAAGUAGGCUUUCUACCUUCGGGUAGACAGGGAGACAGGUGGUGCAUGGUUGUCGUCAGCUCGUGUCGUGAGAUGUUGGGUUAAGUCCCGCAACGAGCGCAACCCUUACGGUUAGUUGCCAGCGGGUUAUGCCGGGCACUCUAGCUGAACUGCCGUUGACAAAACGGAGGAAGGUGGGAUGACGUCAAAUCAUCAUGCCCUUUAUGUCCUGGGCUACACACGUGCUACAAUGGCCUGUACAGAGGGAAGCGAAAGGGUGACCUGGAGCGAAUCCCAAAAAGCAGGUCUCAGUUCGGAUUGCAGGCUGCAACCCGCCUGCAUGAAGUCGGAAUCGCUAGUAAUCGCAGGUCAGCAUACUGUGGUGAAUACGUUCCCGGGCCUU
rnacentral:rRNA from 1 species